GAGUUUGUAAUCCAACGGUUAGGAUAAAUUCCUUCCAAGCAAUAGACCCGGGUUCGACUCCCGGCAGACGCA
rfam:Picea glauca, whole genome shotgun sequence.